UACGUAGGGUGCAGGCGUUAUUCGGAAUUACUGGGCGUAAAGCGUGCGCAGGCGGUUUGCUAAGUCAGGGGUGAAAUCCCCGGGCUUAACCUGGGAACUGCGCUUGUAACUGGCAAGCUUGAGUGUGGCAGAGGGGGGUGGAAUUCCGCGUGUAGCAGUGAAAUGCGUAGAGAUGUGGAGGAACACCGAUGGCGAAGGCAGCCCCCUGGGCUAACACUGACGCUCAGGCACGAAAGCGUGGGGAGCAAACAGG
rnacentral:rRNA from 1 species